UACGGAGGGAGCUAGCGUUGUUCGGAAUUACUGGGCGUAAAGCGCACGUAGGCGGCUUGUAAGUUAGAGGUCGAAAGCCCGGGGCUCAACCCCGGAAUUGCCUUUAAGACUGCAUCGCUUGAAUCCGGGAGAGGUGAGUGGAAUUCCGAGUGAUAGAGGUGUAAAUUCGUAGAUAUUCGGAAGAACAGCCAGUGGCGAAGGCGGACUCACUGGACCGGUAUUG
rnacentral:rRNA from 1 species